CUGUUAUUCUUACACAACACCCUUCUGAAGCAGGCUGAAUCUUUGCAGAGUAUAGUGAAAUUGUUGUGGCAG
rnacentral:misc_RNA from 1 species